CAGUAGCCGCGGUAAUACGAAGGGGGCUAGCGUUGCUCGGAAUCACUGGGCGUAAAGGGUGCGUAGGCGGGUCUUUAAGUCAGGGGUGAAAUCCCAGAGCUCAACUCUGGAACUGCCUUUGAUACUGGGUAUCUUGAGUAUGGAAGAGGUGAGUGGAUUUCCGAGUGUAGAGGUGAAAUUCGUAGAUAUUCGGAGGAACACCAGUGGCGAAGGCGGCUCACUGGUCCAUUACUGACGCUGAGGUGCGAAAGCGCGGGGAGCAAACAGGAUUAGAUACCCCAGUAGUCCCUGUCUCUUAUAC
rnacentral:rRNA from 1 species